rfam:Erinaceus europaeus unplaced genomic scaffold scaffold00299, whole genome shotgun sequence
UUCCUUACAGCUACUGUUCUGCAGCUAUCCUUAUAGUAGCAGUUGUGGCAUUCUUCUGUGGAAAAUAAAUUUACACAAUUGAAAUAGUUCUUUCUUAGCAAAACAGAAAGUAGACAUGUGUGUGACAAGGUGUG